rnacentral:rRNA from 1 species
UACCAGCACCCCGAGUGGUCGGGACGAUUAUUGGGCCUAAAGCCUCCGUAGCCGGUUUUACAAGUCCUCCGUUAAAUCCAGCUGCUUAACAGAUGGGCUGCGGAGGAUACUAUAAGACUAGGAGGCAGGAGAGGCAAGCGGUACUCAGUGGGUAGGGGUAAAAUCCGUUGAUCCAUUGAAGACCACCGGUGGCGAAGGCGGCCCACUGGUCCGGUACUGACGCUGAGGUGCGAAAGCGUGGGGAGCAAACAGG